UGCUGCCGCCAGGCUCGCUUCGGGCGGGUUGGACGCGGACGCGUCUCUGGGAGAACUUCCCGCUCGCCCAGCUGGCUGCCUUCACAGAAGGGAAACUAAGGCUGAAAGAGAACCAUCCAGAGCUGGUGUAUUGUACUAAAAAGAUGAGGUGUGAACUGGGAAAUACACUGACCUGGUAGCCAUAGAAGAGAGAAAUUCCAUAUCAGUAAUAGUCAACGUCAUUCUAUGCAAGUGGAAUCAUCUGGUAGCCAGAGAGCAGAAGAACUGGCCACUCUAGGAGAUAGGCUGCAGAUACAGAAUUUCAUGCCCUGGGCCACUUGAUACAGUAUGUAGCAAUUUCGAUCUUAUCAGGAUAAAUGGCCUCAGCCUGCAGUUGCUUGAUCUCUGAUGCCUUUCUGUAACAACUGAGGGGGACUGAGACCCCAUGAGCACAGCUGAAUGCAAAAUUCCUGAGGCUGUUUCAACAGAAGAAAUACCAUGUUUUUCAUCUCAAAGUUUAAAAACAAGACAGUCUGUCUUCUCUACAGUAUGUAUUGCCUUACAGGAGUUGAGAUGUGUAUGUUUUUGUAUCUAACAAGUACUUCCUUAGUGAAAUGUUCCUUUUUUAUAUGCAAUUUAGCAUGGUUCCCCCAGAGAGAGAGAGAGAGUGUGUUAAAUUCUUCCCUACCUAAUCCAGAACAAAUUAUCACUUUUGCCAACUAGUACAAACUCCAAGCAACUACUACACUCCUCACACAUGCCUAUGGUUGUGUUGUACUACUUCAAUACAGUGGUACCUCUGGUUACGUACUUAAU